rnacentral:rRNA from 1 species
UACGGGGGGGGGCAAGCGUUGUUCGGAAUUACUGGGCGUAAAGGGCUCGUAGGCGGCCAACUAAGUCAGACGUGAAAUCCCUCGGCUUAACCGGGGAACUGCGUCUGAUACUGGAUGGCUUGAGGUUGGGAGAGGGAUGCGGAAUUCCAGGUGUAGCGGUGAAAUGCGUAGAUAUCUGGAGGAACACCGGUGGCGAAGGCGGCAUCCUGGACCAAUUCGUGGACGCUGAGGAGCGAAAGCCAGGGG